rnacentral:lncRNA from 1 species
GCAUCUUCCUGUGCAUUAUUCAGCAGGGAGCCUGGAGAGAUUAAUGUAGGUGUUAAAAGCAGAUGACAUCAGUACAAAGCCGUUGUGAAUAAUGAAGGAGUUCUAUUGACAGAAACUCCAAGAUCAAACUACUUUGGAAUACUCUAUGAAAACGCAAUGUUCAAUACCCAAUCAGAAAUCUAAGGGCUUUUCUUUUGCCAAGGAGUAUAAACCUACACUGACAUAGCAAAUGAUGUAUUCAUUUACAAAGCCUUUUGGAAGGAAAGCAUAUAACAUGAUUUCUGGAAUGCAGUUUUUAUCCCAGAUGGGAUUGGAGAUCCUGAUGCUGGCUGAGUUUCUGCAGGGACAGCAGAGAAGAUGCGGGAGACAGGAGACAUUGUCCAGAUGCAGCACAAGCUACUGCAGAUCCACUGAUUGUUGGUAACUGCUCUUGUGUAGAUUCUUUCCUUGUGGCUCCUGUAAGAUCCUACAGAUAGAAGACUUUGUUGAUCAGCUGACCCACAGCAUCUUGACUCUGUGCAAAAAAGCGACACUCAGCUCCCACUCACUUUUUUCUGUCCAUAUCAUUAUCAAGAUGAAUUUCCAGACAAAAAUGCUAAUUUUUUCUUUGGGAAAAUAAAUUUUCUUGUGUAUUCA